rnacentral:lncRNA from 1 species
AUUUACUAAUGAGGCAGUUUGCAAAGACUGUCCCUGAAGUGUAGUGUAGUCUUUCAGGGGGAUUCAUUUAGUAAGCUAGAUUGAUUUAACCUGGUACUGUACUAGCAUAGGGUCAAAUACGUGUCAUCAGAGACCUGGGUAUGACCAGGCUUACAAAACUCAGGAACAAACUCAGAUUCCUACUGACCUCAACCAACUAAACUAGGCCAAAUUUCUCCGUGUACAAAAUGGACCACGUUAUUUACAAUCCACGUGGUGGAGAAGAUGGUAGACAUGUGGAGAGAGUUUGGCCAGGUGCUCCAUUCUAGGUCUUUUUCCAGUUUCUCAAAGGCAGAACAUUGGCUCCUAAUUAUUUGCCAUGGAUAUUUGCUUCCUGUUCUGGAGCUAUGUUGUAAGACAGCUGUGUGAUGUCCAUCAUUCUUGACUCCAGAAUGAAGACAGGGCUUGCUGUUUUCUGUCCUGUUGGUAUCAUCUGUUGCCUUGGCGAUCACUCAGUGAUGAGUCGUCAGUAUUUUGACAUGUCCCAGUGCUUGCUGUACAAGAGGGGACUCAGAUCAACAGGAAGACUCUGAAGACAGGAACCUGCAUGGUAUCUUACAUCUUUGAUACUUGGGUGCUGAUAUGAAGCAGAGUUGUUGAUUUACUUUAUCUAGGCCCUUCUUUCUUCUCACCUGGAUCAAGCAACUGAGAAGUGUAUCAGGAGACACUGGAUACAUAUCUCUAUGAAAUAGAGAGGGCCAUCGCAGGGCCUGGUACUUAACUACAUUAACGUUCUAAAACCCAGUUUGGUUUACGUUGUCUUUCACAGUAGUAUAUUUAGCUCUUCUCUGGAAAGUUGUGGGUUAAUAUAAUUCUUAAACAUGAAAAUGUAAUUAAACACACCACGAGAGAACAAUAUUCCAGGAGACUUAAUAGUGAUUACUUUCUUCAAUCAGGAAAUCGUUUCAGUGCCUCCUUUGUAGGAAUGCUUUGUUUUGUGAUGGGUUUUCUUAAAGAAGAGCACACCUCCGUCCAAUCUCCUGAGACAGCCACGUCUCCGCUGACAUCCCACUGUGAUGCUUUCAGAUAGUCAGUGAAUGUUUCUGAUAACCUUCAUCCAGUAUCUGAAACACAAUGUGAGAGAUUAUAUUGUUUUAGAUAAUAACAUCCCAUUUAGUUGACUAAAAUCUUCCAAACUCUGAAAGCUGCACACUGCUACUCCAGAGAGUGCAGGUCUUAGCUCUUCUCCUUUCUGACUUCAAGAUGAAUCUUUGGGACGAUGUUUCUGGUGCUUGGUCCACAGUGAUUCACUUUUGAAGGAGAGGCCACAUGACAUGAACUGCCUGGUGUUACAACCUAGCUAACAUAUUUGAUGCUACUCCUGUUGUCUGUACUGCUUAUUCAAGUAGUAUUCUAAGUUAUGUUACUAAAAAACAUGGUGGGUAAAGCACAAUCCUACCCAUCAUUGUCCUCCAAAAUAAUUGUAUGACAUACACGGCCCAGCCCAUUGCCCUCCCUGCAUCUCUGUGCUGCUUUGCCAUUUCCCCUUCUACCCAGCCUCCUCAAGGGGUACCUUGGUGGAUAUUUCAGUACUUAAAACCAGACUGUAAUCAUAACCUCCCUCUGUGUGGCAUCAAUAAAUAGCCAAACUC